GCUUCCAUGGUUUCUUCCUUCUAGUCUCAGCUAAAACCCCAACCUCUACAGAAAGCCUUUCUUCAUCCCUUUUGUUGCUGAUGUCUUCCCUCUAGGAUCAGUUGUUGAAAAUUUGGGCCUAAUGAGCUAUUGGGAAUUUUUUAACAUCAUGUUUAAAUGGCAAUUACUAGCACCCAUUUCCGAUGAAAAUAUCACAGUGACUGACACAAUAGUUAAUGAUGUCCUAGUGCGCUAUUUUGUGCCAAAGAAGAAAUCACAUGAGCUGAAACGAGCAAUUAUGUAUUACCAUGGAGGAGGUGUUAGUUUUAGUAGCAUUGCCUUUCUCCAAUAUGACACUUUUGCAAGACUGGCAGCAAACAGGCUGGAUGCUGUUAUUGUAGGACCUGAGUAAGAAAAUUUUCAAUAGUUCUUUUGGAUAUAUUUAAUGUUAUUUUGGAUUGUGAUCACAUUGUGAUGAAUUCGGCCAAUGUACAAAUGACCCACAUCCCAUAUGAUUCCUGACCCAACCUUUUUCAUACCUGGGGAAUUGGUAUACCACACUAUUUAUGGAUGAGAUUAUAUUUGGUGAUCAUGAAUGCAAAGGUUGGCACUUGUUCCAAUUCUAUUAUUUUCCAGAUGAGAAAAUUUGGGCCCAGUCAGUGAAUGUGAUUUUCUCAAGAUUACAUAGAAAAGCUGGGAUUUCAGCUCAGAUUCUCUAGUUUUUAUCACACCACACCAUACUACCACCAACUCUUUGAAACAGGUAUUAAAUAUAAAUAUCAAUUGUCAUCACCAUCAUUAUCCUAUUUCAGUCCUUAUUAUGUUAAAUAUUUACCAACAUGCCACUGGAUGGAGUUUAUCUGGACUUAGUAAAUUGAGACUAGGAAAACUAAUUACUCUUUUAUAUCAAACUACUUCAUUUAAGUUUUAAAAUGCCUAUUAACCACAUUUAUUCAAAGCUGGAUGACAAAUGUCUUUUUUAAAAAAGAAGUCUUAUUUCAAAAAGGGCCAAUAAUCCUGAUUUUUGUCUCUGCAAAAAUUUUAGAAUGAAAAGUUUUGCCAUUCUCUUCCAGAACAUCCCACACUUUGAGUAUAACCAAAAGUUUCUUGGCCAGGACUAAAAGAUAAACAAUGCAUAUUCAAUAAUGUUUCUUUCAAAGUGUUCCUUGCUAUCUAUACUUUCUGGGAUGUGAAUUUGAAUAAGGAAUUGGGAUCCUCAUUCUUUCAUGAAUGCUUGCUACUUACUAUAAAUCAACUCUUUUGGCCAACUAAUUCUUAAGGAUAGAAGAAGAGGGAUAUUAGUGGGAGGGAAAAUUUUUCCUAUUUUGAGUUAUGAAAGAAUUAAGUUGAAAUAAGCAUAUUUCAUAAUUUAAUUUGAAACUGAAUUUAAUUGAAGGAAAUUAAUUUAAUUUGAAUGUGUUAGGAACAUGCCUAUAAAAGGCGAUUUACUUUCUUAUGGAACUGUGCCUUUAAGGAAUUGUUAAAUACAUUUAUCCUUCCCUGUGGGCCCUAUAAUUUGAAUUUGUGACAUUUUUCUAUAAUUUGUUCUAGAUCAGUAGUGCCAUAUUGAAAUAAAAAUGGGGCCACUAAGAUAUACAUAAGAAUCCCUGCAGGCCACAUGAUAACUCAGAAAACAACCUAUUGGGAUGUAAGGGUCAUUUGGCUGUGACAUCUGUUAUUCCAUUGAUCUUGAAAGUUGAUUCAGCUGAUGUGGAUAGCUAGGUGAUGUUCCCUUCCUCCCUCACCACUCCAUAUGCAUCUCUCCCAAAGUGUGGACUCAAUUUAAGAGGACAAUCUUCUCCAAUUCUUCUUUCUUCUUUCAAUGACUUUCUUCAGUCAAGGGUAUAUGAGUAGAUGCACUUCCCUACUAGAUCAAGUUCUCAAGAUUUAUUUGUAAGAGAACCUAGGCUGGGGCAGCUAGGUGGCGCAGUGGAUAGAGCAACAACCCUGAAGUCAGGAGGACCUGAGUUCAAAUUUGAACCCUGGGCAAAUCACUUAACCCCAACUGCCUCAGCAAAAAAAAAAAAAGAAAAAAGAAAAGAAAACAAAGAAAGAAAAAGAAAAAGAAAGGAAAGAAAGAAAGAGAAAUGUUCUAUUCUAAUUUUAUUUGUUGAUUGAAUAUUUCCCAAUUACAUUUUAAUUUUAUUUAUACAACACUUUCAUUGUUGCCCUCUCUUCUAUAAGAUCAUAUAGCAAACCAGAAGCUACAUAGCAAUGGAGUCCAAGUGUUCCAUGAACACAUUGAGAAAGGAUUCUGUGGAUCUUUCUUCUCCAUUCAUUGGAGAAUGAAUAAAAAAGAGUAUAAAAAUUGUUUUAAGCUCUAAACAAAAAUUAUUGCAAAAACAAUUAUUUUAAUUGUAUAGAAAUUAGCGGAAAAGACAACUAAAUAAAUAUUAUUCAACUGCAGAUAGUCAACUGUUCCUUUCCCAUCCUGGAAAUUUCCUUCUUGUCAGAAUAAUUUGAAUACAUUUGAAAUUUGUUUCUUUGACAUGACUGACACUUUCAAGGUGCCUGGGGCUACCUUUGGACUUUUCAGGAUGAUCCUCUUGAUCUCAAGUCCCAUAUUGUCUCAACAGAAUGUAACCUGCCCAGGGAAAGAUAACAUUUCAUCUUUGACAAUAUAUCCUCAUCACUAAGCACAAUGCCUGGUACAAAAACAAGUGUUUCAUAAAGACAUGUUAAAUCAAAACCUUUAUUUCCUCCCUAAAUAAAUAUAAUUAUAAUAUAAUAGGUAUUAGGAAGUUGGGAAUCAAUGGAUAGAAUUUCUUUUUGGAGGCGAUUUUCAUGGACUCCAUCUCUUCUAGAAUGGAAAGUUUUGCUGUAAUAGCAUAGAAGCACCUAGAGCAAAAUGUUAAAUGCCUUCUUAUUCUUCUUUUUUGGGCAGCUAAGUGGUACAAUCAUUAGAAUGGCUGGCCUGAAGUCAAAUCUAACCUCAGACACUUAAUAGUUUUGUGAUCCUAAGCAAGUCACCUUACCCUUUUUACCUCAGUUUCCUCAUCUGUAAAAUGAGCUGGAGAUGGAAAUAGCACACCAUUCUAGCAUCUUUGUCAAGAAUACCCCAAAUGGGGUCAUGAAGAGUCAUACAUGACUGAACAACAACAUUUUUCUUUUAAAGCUUUCGAAAAUUUCCUAAAUAUCUCCAUCCAACUCAGUGGAAUGAUGCUUAUAAUUUUGUGAAGUCUUUCCUACAACCUGAAAAUCUUGCCAAAUAUGGUGUGGAUCCAAAUAGAAUCUGUUUUUUAGGAGAUAGUUCUGGUGGUGGUGUGGCAACAUCUAUGGUCCAACAGGUCAUGAGUGACCCUGAAAUUACCAUUAAACCUAAAAUUCAGGUUUUAAUUUACCCCGGCUUGCAGAUGCUUGAUACAGACUUGCCAUCCUAUAGGGAAAAUGAAUUUGGCAUAAUGUUGACUAAGGCCAUAGCAAUAAAAUUGAUGAGUGAGUAUCAUACUCCUGAUGAAUCCCUUAAGCAAGCCAUGAAGAUUAACCAACAUAUACCUGUUGAAUAUAGCCAUCUCUUCAAAUUUAUUAACUGGAGUAUCCUGCUUCCUGAGAGGUUUAAAAAAGGCCAUGUGUAUAACAACAGAAUUUAUGGAAGUUCUGAAAUGGUAGAAAAGUUUCCAGGGAUUGUAGAUCCUAAAAUAAGCCCAUUAUUGGCCAAUGAUUCAAUAUUGAGUCUUCUACCACUAACUUACUUACUCACAUGUCAAUAUGAUGUCUUAAGAGAUGAUGGGCUCAUGUAUGUUUCCCGUCUACGCAGCAAUGGAGUCCAAGUGUUCCAUGAACACAUUGAAAAAGGAUUCCAUGGAUCUCUCUUCUCCAUUCAUUGGCCAUAUAAUUUAGAUAUUGGUUGGAAAUUAAUAAAUAAUAUACUUGCUUGGAUAAAUGAGAAUUUAUAGUUCUUGCACAUACACAUAUGACCUGUAUCAAAUUGCUAACCUCAAGGAGGAGACAUGGGAAGAAGGGAGGGAGGAAAUCUGGAAUUCAAAAUAUUUUGAAAACAAAUAUUUUUUAAAUGUAUGUGUCAUUGGAAAAAAAAAUAUACGGUUCCUGUAUCAUGUAAAAAUAAAAAUAGUCACUGGAUAACAUGUAGUCCCCAAUUUAUAUAUGUUGUAUAUUCUAAAAUCUGACUUGUGAAUCAUUUCUUUGUAAUUCAGGAGAUAUUUUCUCUCAAAAAUAAUUGUGUUUAUAGCUAUUAGGCCUUUCUCAUGACCAACACCAAUCCCUCUAUUUGUAUCCCUCUUAUCUAAUGCUAUCCAAUGUCAUUCACCUUUCUCUUAAUCUUUAGUUUCUCCCUAUUAACUCUUUUGCUAUUGCCUAUGAUCAUAGCCAGUCUUCCACAUCUUUUAAAUCUUGAGUGUUGGUUCUGAUACCUACUAGCAAUGAGAUCAUAGGCAAAUGACUAAUUCUUAAGAAAACCCUCCAUAUUGGGAGCAAUUUGGAACUAUGCUCAAAAAAUUAUCAAACUGUACAUACCCUUUGAUCCAGCAGUGUUUCUAUUGGGCUUAUACCCCAAAGAGAUACUAAAGAAAGGAAAGGGACCUGUAUGUGCCAAAAUGUUUGUGGCAGCCCUGUUUGUAGUGGCUAGAAACUGGAAAAUGAAAGGAUGCCCAUCAAUUGGAGAAUGGCUGGGUAAAUUGUGGUAUAUGAAUGUUAUGGAAUAUUAUUGUUCUGUAAGGAAUGACCAGCAGGAUGAAUACAGAGAGGACUGGCGAGACUUACAUGAACUGAUGCUGAGUGAAAUGAGCAGAACCAGGAGAUCAUUAUAUACCUCAACAACGAUACUGUUUGAGAAUGUAUUCUGAUGGAAGUGGAUCUCUUCGAUAGAGAGCCUUAAUUGAUCAAAGAUGGACAGAAGCAGCUACACCCAGAGAAAGAACACUGGAAAUGAAUAUAAACUGCUUGCAUUUUUGUUUUUCUUCCCGGGUUAUUUCUACCUUCUGAAUUCAAUUCUCCCUGUGCAACAAGAAAACUGUUCGGUUCUGUACACAUAUAUUGUAUCUAGGAUAUAUUGCAACCCAUUCAACAUGUAAAGGACUGCUUGCCAUCUGGGGGAAGAGGUGGAGGGAGGGAGGGGAAAAAUUGGAACAGAAGUGAGUGCAAGGGAUAAUGUUGUAAAAAAUUACCCUGGCAUGUGUUCUAUCAAUAAAAAGUUAUUUAAAAAACAAAAAAACAAAAACAAAAACAAAAACAAAAAAAAGACCCUCCAUAUUGGGAAGAUAAUCCUGCUGCCUUACAUGAAAAUUUAUGCCUAGUAUUGAUUUUUAUUUCUCCAUUUGGUAAAUUAUAGUGAAUCUAAGUUAGUAAUAUAACCCACUAUGCUGUUGUUCUUUGUCCUUCAUUUUCAAAGAGGACCAGUAAUAUCAUGGGUGAUGUCUUGACUUGUGAAUUGUAUUUAAGUGAGGCAGAGUUGCACAAAGUCAUCAACCUUAAUCUCUUUUCCUGAGUCCAGUGGGAACACAAAAGUAAAGAUGAUUGGCCAUGGCCCAAAAUGCAGUGGAUAACCUCUUUGUCUUCAAUGCCAGAUUAAGCUCUAAGUGCCCCCACAGCACCUAAUUCACAGCCGUUGGAACAAAUUGUUCUAAUUUGCUGGUCUUCAACAUGCUUGGGAUAGCCACCCCCCUAACUCACCAACAGAUUUGGGAGCUGUUGUUUAUUCUCAGUCUGGUUCAGCUUUUCUCCUAAGAUGGUUUACAAGAGUGUGGACAUUGAACAUGCUACAGAUUCUUGGAGCCACAAGUAAAAGUUAGGUGAAGGUAGACCCCAAAGGAAGAUGAGCAGCCCUGAUAAAGGCUUAGCAAGUCCUCACACCUGAGGUUCUGUCCUUCCUAUAUACCUCAACCUACUGUACUACGCUGCUGUAAGGAUGAGGUGAUUGAUUUCCACAACCCCACCCUACAUCAAGUAACUGAUCAUAAAUCCAUCAAUCAAUUUCAAUCAUAUAAGCUUUCAUAUAUAAGCCUUGGAUUAAGUGUGAAAUGUUCUUAAAAAUGAAAUGAAAUUGUACAAGAAUCUUUUUAAAACAGUCCUAACUUGGCCAUACCUCAGUUAUUUUUGAUAAAUUAUCAACAAUUGAAAAACAAUGCCUGGAGAUAUCCCUUAGUGACUUGAAGGUAGCUGGGGCCUUGGGAAUCAAAAACCCUACCUAUUUUCUUUUGGAUGGCGAAUGAACUUGUGGAAGAAUGAGUCACACAUCAGCUAUUCUUACUAUAUCUUCUUCAAUCAAACUUUCCAAAAGGAUGCUUCAAGAUAUCUGGAUAAAUUGAGUCUCACCUGGUAGUAUUAAUGACAUUUUCUCUAAAGGGUCCUCUUCUAUCCCUGAGUUUCAGUUUCCCUUUUGAUAAAAAUGAAAACCCACUAAAGCCCAAAUCAUGUACUUGGCUUGGUCCUUCUGACUCCAGGGCCAGUGCUCUUUCUACUGUGCCAUCUUGCUGCCCCUCUAGAAUGGAUUUCAUCUCUGAAUAAAAACCUCAAGGACACGUGAAUUCAUCUAGAAGGCUACUUCCUCUAAUGAUGUAGUUCCUAGCCCUUACAAUAUGACUGAAGCAGCUUAUCUGGGAACAAUCAUAAUCCUGAUGAAGUCCAAGCUUCUACAUAUGAGUUUUUCUCACCUUAACCAGGCUGGUCUUCUAGAGCAAACUGAAACCGGUUGAACCUCUAUUGAAUUUAAUAAUAAUAUUUGCCUUCCUUUUGGGGUGCUCUUUGAUGAUUCUGGGUCACCUCCCUACUGUGAGUUAAUAUCACAAAAGGAUUUCUGGAAAGGAUCUCUGAAUGGAGUGUCUUCGAAUCUCUGCUGUAGGCAACAAAUGGUAACUGAAAAAAAUCAAGAGAAGUAGGGAAAUGUAGAAAAAUUAUUUUUCAAGAGAUGUCAUGCCUUCCCACUGCUUCAGCAUAUGAAUGAAAUUGUGGGAAAAUGCUUCCCAGAGAGAUUAAGGUAACUGGCCCACGGACACACAGCUAGUGAAUAUCUGAGGUUUUGAGGCAUCUGAGAUGAGAAUAUCCUGAGCAAAUCCCUCCAUUGCACCAUGUUGACUCGCAGCACAACUGAGGCAAAGACAAGUCAGCAGAACCUGGAAAAUGAUGUAGACAUUGACUGCAACAUUGUAAAUAGAAAUACCAGCACCAAAAAGAUAGGAGAAAUUGAAUACACUGAAACUGAAAUGGCCAAGCAGGACCCCAAGAAAUGGGGUAAGAGGAAUUUUUCUCCCUGUCCUAUACCAAUAUCAUUGCAGGUAUGGAAGACUAUGGGUGUGGAGGGCAAAUGUAAAUCAAUAUUUUCAAUGUAUAAGCUGAUUUUGGUCAAUGUCAUUUUUUUCCUCUCUUUUUUAUUCUUUAAUGUUCCAUGAGGUUCAGCCAGAAGUGUGGGAACAGUUGGAGGAUCAGGGGAAUAGAGUGAGAAACCUAAAUAUAUAUAUCAAUAUAAUUUUAUUACAAUAAAAAUGUUGUUAUUUUCCGAUUAAUCAAAAACAUGUUUUUAAUAGCAAAACAAUGAAAAGUUCAUGUUUCAGUAUGGGGUCGAUCAGACAAUUAUCACAGAAAAGGGAAAAGUCACUGUAGCCUUCACUAUUGCCUGAGACACUGCUGCCACCUCAUGGUAGAGUUCCCAGAAGACACUAUUUGUAUGCUGUUGCCAUAUUGUAAUGAAUAAACAUAAAUUCUGG